UGUUAACUGUCAUAUCGUAUGCUGCUUCAUUAUGCUGGUCAUGCAGCAAAAUAAACCCAGUGAAGUCUUGUAAAUUUCCAUCUGAAUCAAGUUUGGCUGAAAUAUGUCCUGAAAAGUGUGCAUGUAGGCUUUCUUAGAUCCUCAAGAGUUGGCUGAAAAGUUGUCUUGGUAUUUUGAAUGAGAAAUUCGUCAGAGAGCUAUAGUGCUGCUUGAAACUUUACUGUAAACUCGAUAGCUUGAUACUUGUAUGAAUCACAUUACGUCAAGCUUAAAUGAAAUCUUUUGUGCAGGAUGAUAGUGUUAAAUGGAGAGCAUUGCAAGUUAUUUCAAGUUCACUUAGUAUUCACUUAUUAUUGCAACGGACCCUUUAGCAGGGGAAACUACUCUUAUACAACUGAUUUUCGGGGGUUACCUUCGAUCUAAGAUAAGGUGCAUGAAGUGCCAAGGCAAGUCUGAGAAGCAUGAACGGAUGAUGGAUCUAACUGUUGAGAUACAUGGGGAUAUUGGAACUCUUGAAGAAGCACUUGCACAAUUUACGGCUACUGAAAUCUUGGAUGGAGACAAUAAAUACCACUGUAGCAGGUUGUUUGGUGCUUGUCUGUUUUGAGUUAAAGAUGUAUAUUGCAGUCAAUAGGUGCCAGGAAUGACAUAAUGCCAAUCAUCAUUGUCUAAACCUUAUCCCAACUAAUUGGGUUUGGCUACAUGAAUCCUGUUCUGCCAUUCACUCGAUCAAGGACCAUAUCGUUAGUUAAACUGUAGGUCAGCAAGUCUUUUCUCUCACACGCUCCACUCACAUCCUUCUGGGCCUUCCUAUUGCCUUUUUAGAGCCUUGAACCAACUCUCUCCUAACAGGUGCAGGAGAAUCUUCACAAUGAGACGAUCGAAUGUGACUCAGCUAGUAGUAGUCCCAAUAGAUAGAAUAAUGGACCAGGGUCUAUUGGUGGUGCAAUGGGGUAUGGUGAUUUGCAGUCCUUGAGCUUGUCUAUGAGCCCUGGUUCUCAAUCUAGCUGUGUUACAGCUGCUGCACAGUAGCUAUCACAUGGUGGGGCUGAUUUUGUAGCCAUGAACACAAAGAAGAGAGGGGGUGGGGAGGUGGGCCAGAAGAAGCUAGUUCAUAGGAAGUCCAUUGAAACAUUUGGGCAGAGAACAUCACAGUAUGGAGGUGUUACAAGGUCAGUAGGAGCCCUCUCUCUCCUCUUGUUUAUCGUUUUUGUUUUUUGGUUAUUUUAGUUCAUAUAUGGUGGUUUGUCAUUGUAACUAUUUUUGGGGCUUUUAGUCUCUUGGAGUGGAUCAUGGCGAGCCUGGUGAAGCAUCAGGAUGUGCAGGUCAAGCUGGCGGAAGUGAUCGAUCGGGUUGUGGGGGAUGGAUGAGAAGACAUUGAAGAGGAGGAUUUGUAGCGGAUGUCAUUUCUGAAGGCAGUGAUCAUUCUAGAAAAGAGCAAGGAAUCGUUGGAUUAUAGAAGCCUGGAAAUGAAAUGUUCAAUUGAAAUUGAAAUGUGUACUAGAAAAGAAGGAAAAGAUUAUUGUGUGAAUCAUUCUAUUGUCUUUUUCUUUUAUUUGUGUAAUUAUUUGGCAUAUAAUACAAGUAGAUUACAUA